GGGAGCGACUUGGCUUCGACAGGAGUAAGUCUGCUUAGAUGGCAUGUCGCUUUGGGCAAAGCGUAAAAAGCCCAAAUAAAAUUAAACGCAAACAACGUUAAAUUCGCUCCUGCUUACGCUAAAGCUGCGUAAGUUCAGUUGAGCCUGAAAUUUAAGUCAUACUAUCUAGCUUAAUUUUCGGUCAUUUUUGAUAGUGUAGCCUUGCGUUUGACAAGCGUUGGGGUGAAAUAAAGUCUUAGCCUUGCUUUUGAGUUUUGGAAGAUGAGCGAAGUAGGGUGAAGUAGUCAUCUUUGCUAAGCAUGUAGAGGUCUUUGUGGGAUUAUUUUUGGACAGGGGUUCGAUUCCCCUCGCUUCCACCA
rnacentral:tmRNA from 1 species